GAGUUGAGUUUGGUUUUUCUUGGGUCAGAUCUGAUAGCUGACGAGCACAUCCGAUGAGUUUCUGAGAGUUGUUGGCUCCUUGUGGAGUGACGGUUUUUUCUUAAGUUCCAGAUCCUUGUGGAGCAACGGUUUUUGUGUUUUGUUGAUUUUCUUAACCUCUUCGACGUUUCGGUGGCAGGUUGUUUCCUUUUUUUCUUUAAUAAGUUAAUGGUCAAUGCCAGGCUAUUAUA
rnacentral:lncRNA from 1 species